AGAGGAGGGAGAGACAGACUUCAUCAAUGACUCCAGAUCUGAGGAGAAACUCAUCUGAAGAACCUCUCACACCGAUGUAAAGAGGUGACUGUGACCUCCUCAGACCAAUUGGCAGAACAGCCCAGUUCUGGCAUCACAAACAGGAUGAUUGAUUCUGCACAUUCUAUGGGGAAGCGUGAGGGAAUUUCUCAUCUGACGAAAAGACGACUAGGACCCGCCCAGACCAUACCUUGACUGUGAACUGCCCGGGAGGAGACAUAUCAUAAGUGAACAAUAGAGGGACACAUCUACUAACUUUUCAAACAGGUUGUCCCUGCAAGGGACGGAGGAAGACAUUGAAGAGAAUUGUGCCCCCCUUAACAGUGUUCUUGAGACUCUUCUCCCACGGGUGAAGGCGUCUUUGCCGAACCUAGCCGGUGGAGCCGAACACUGUUUGAACCCAGGUGAUUCCGUGGUGGUCAAAGACUUCAGGAGAAAGAGUUGGAACGACCCCCGUCGAUAUCAAGUUCUUCAAGACCACCCCCCACUGCAGUGAAGGUUGCUGAGAGAGAUACCUGGAUCCACGCGUCGCACUGCAGACGAGCUCCUGAUCCAGGAGAAGAUGAGGCCUCACCAGUCCCGGCGGUGCCGUGUGGCCCUCCUCUGCUUUAGCACAGGAAUGCUAAUAGGAACAGUAGGCUGUCUUCUUGUAGGAAACCCGACAGAGGGUCAAAUGAGUCCUGAGCCAAAGGGGCAAACACAGGCCUGGAGUAGUGGCCCAGAAGUAGAUGGUCACCGUAGAAGGAGAGCCCUGCUGGGCCCUCACAACCAUGAGGACAAUUUGUUCUUAUCUAGAGCACAAAUGGUUGCCAACCUGACAUCCAAAGGAAAGGACUGUUGGGUGUGUGGGUUGAGUCCGGUGAAGGUAGGGGCAGGCUUCCCCCUUGUAGGAGUCCCGAUAGGGGUGAACUUUACUAUAGCAUUGGCAGGAAAAAUACCUUUUUACACUAUGACCAACAAUGUUAAGGUAUAUAAUCAACCCAAUAUAUUCUGUUAUGUGAGACCUGAUAAUGUAUCACUCCCACCCAUUUCAGUGGCUGGGGUGACGACUGCCCCUUGGUGUAUUAAGGGGUAUGGAGAUCACUAUUUGGGGGAAUUUAAAUGUAAUUGUACAAUGAAUAUUAAUGGAUCAAAUGCUUGCAAUUUAAAGGUGAUACAGGAGAAUGGUCAGGUUGAUAAGGAACCGUUUACAAUUUGGUUUGACAAACAUAGAACAACUCUGAGAGGAGCCCCUAAUGGCACCUACUGGCUGUGUGGUAAGAUGGCUUACCAUAGCCUUCCCCUGAACUGGGGAGGUACUUGUACUGUUGGGUUUGUGGUGACAGCAAUGAGAACCGUUCCAAACAAUGACCAGAAUCUGAAGGCUCUCUUUAGAGACUACAAACCUCCUGGGAUGAGGAGAGAUAAGAGGUCUCUGGCUGACGUCACUCAGGCACCUGCCUCCAGGUUCUUUGACGGGUUUUUCCCUGGGUAUGGAGUUGCAGGUGCCCAAGACCAAAUUCGUGAUAUCUCUAGACAUGUAGAGAAAAUUGGCAAUGCUACUCGAAAUGCCCUGGAACAAUUGAAUCAGGAACUAAAAGAAUUGGCUGAAAUGACUCUUCAGAACAGAGAGGCUCUUGACUAUCUUUUGGCAGCUCAAGGGGGCACUUGUGCAAUCAUUGGCGAUGAAUGUUGUACUUUUGUCCCAGGUCGCUCUUCUAAUGUGACUGAUCUUGCCCAAUACAUUGCCACUGUUGCUAAAAAGAAUUCCCCACAACCAGAGCGGACGCUUGCAACUUGGUUGGAAUCCCUGUUGGGAAGUUGGGGAUCUCAUAUUGACCAAUGGGCUGCAGCGUGUGUUUUUUGCUUAGUCUGCAUAAUUGUAUUAUUAACAGGCUGUAAGGCUAUCUAACAGGCUGUAAGGCUAUCUAACAGGCUGUAAGGCUAUCUAACAGGCUGUAAGGCUAUCUAACAGGCCGUAAGGCUAUCUAACAGACCGUAAGGCUAUCUAACACGUAAGGCUAUCUAACAGACCGUAAGGCUAUCUAACAGACCGUAAGGCUAUCUAACAUGCUGUAAGGCUAUCUAACAGACCGUAAGGCUAUCUAACACGUAAGGCUAUCUAACAGGCCGUAAGGCUAUCUAACAGGCCGUAAGGCUAUCUAACAUGCUGUAAGGCUAUCUAACAUGCCGUAAGGCUAUCUAGCAGGCUGUAAGGCUAUCUAACAGGCUGUAAGGCUAUCUAACAUGCUGUAAGGCUAUCUAACAGGCUGUAAGGCUAUCUAACAGGCUGUAAGGCUAUCUAACAUGCUGUAAGGCUAUCUAACAUGCCGUAAGGCUAUCUAGCAGGCUGUAAGGCUAUCUAACAGUCUGUAAGGCUAUCUAACAGUCUGUAAGGCUAUCUAACAGGCCGUAAGGCUAUCUAACAGGCCGUAAGGCUAUCUAACAGGCCGUAAGGCUAUCUAACAGGCCGUAAGGCUAUCUAACAGACCGUAAGGCUAUCUAACAGGCUGUAAGGCUAUCUAACAGGCUGUAAGGCUAUCUAACAGGCCGUAAGGCUAUCUAACAGGCCGUAAGGCUAUCUAACAUGCCGUAAGGCUAUCUAACAGGCUGUAAGGCUAUCUAACAGGCCGUAAGGCUAUCUAACAGGCUGUAAGGCUAUCUAACAGGCCGUAAGGCUAUCUAACAGGCCGUAAGGCUAUUUAACAUGCUGUAAGGCUAUCUAACAGGCUGUAAGGCUAUCUAACAGGCUGUAAGGCUAUUGUAAGGCUAUCUAACAGGCUGUAAGGCUAUCUAACAGGCUGUAAGGCUAUCUAACAGGCCGUAAGGCUAUCUAACAGGCCAUAAGGCUAUCUAACAGGCCGUAAGGCUAUCUAACAUGCUGUAAGGCUAUUGUAAGGCUAUCUAACAGGCUGUAAGGCUAUUGUAAGGCUAUCUAACAGGCUGUAAGGCUAUCUAACAGGCUGUCUAACAGGCUGUAAGGCUAUCUAACAGGCUGUAAGGCUAUCUAACAGGCUGUAAGGCUAUCUAACAGGCUGUAAGGCUAUUCUCCCUGUCUAAUACGGUCUCAGCAGCACUCGUGUUUAAUGCUCUUCAAGAGGAUGGUGAGCUGCCGAUGCUGGAUGAGCUUCCCUUUCCCACUGUAGAUAUAGACGCUGAGUAAUAACUGAAGGUUGUUUUUAAUUGACAAGUUUAGAAGGUUUAAAGUUGAGUUAAUAAUUUAUAUUAACACCAUUGUGGUAAGAGCUAUGGAAACAAUGGUUAAACAUCGAGCAACAAAUCCCUUGUGUGUGUAUUUUUUGAUAGAUUCACUCUCGUUGAUAAAAGUAUAAACUUGACUGUAGAUUUUAGCUUUAUGAUGAUGCUAGUAUUUCCGUAAAUGAACUUGUAUAAUGAAGCAUGUGUGUAAGUGUAUGAAGCAUGUGUGUAAGUGUAGGAAUCAUGUGUGUAAGUGUAUGUAGCAUGUGUGUAAGUGUAUGAAGCAUGUGUGUAAGUGUGGGAAGCAUGUGUGUAAGUGUCUGAAGCAUGUGUGUAAGUGUCUGAAGCAUGUGUGUAAGUGUAUGAAGCAUGUGUGUAAGUGUAUGUAGCAUGUGUGUAAGUGUAUGAAGCAUGUGUGUAAGUGUAUGUAGCAUGUGUGUAAGUGUAUGAAGCAUGUGUGUAAGUGUAUGUAGCAUGUGUGUAAGUGUAUGAAGCAUGUGUGUAAGUGUAUGUAGCAUGUGUGUAAGUGUAGGAAGCGAAGGUCUUAAUUUAAACCGUUCUACUGCCAUGGCUUUACAAGUGUUAGACUUAUGGAAUACGGAUAAGUUAUCAUUUCGAUUGUACAACCCAGAAUGAAGGGUUUGAAGGGAUAAAGUGGCGUUUUAUGAGUUGAUUUCAGUGUUUUUGAUAGGACCUCCUUUGAUAGUUUAAGCCUUUAAUCUAACGCUCAUCUUAACAUGUUACAAUAGUUAUCACAGAGUGAUAAGAGAUGAUGUGGUGGGAAAUGUUGUUGUCUGAAGAGAAAGCCUUGCAUUGUACAUCUUGGUCUUGUUCUCUCUCACUAUAUGGUGGUUGGUGCAGGUGACUGUGACCUCCUCAGACCAAUUGGUAGAACAGCCCAGAAUAUCAAAUCAAAUCAAAUCAAAUUUAUUUAUAUAGCCCUUUGUACAUCAGCUGAUAUCUCAAAGUGCUGUACAGAAACCCAGCCUAAAACCCCAAACAGCAAGCAAUGCAGGUGUAGAAGCACGGUGGCUAGGAAAAACUCCCUAGAAAGGCCAAAACCUAGGAAGAAACCUAGAGAGGAACCAGGCUAUGUGGG